CAUUGGAACCGGAGAAGUCCACAUGCACUUCCCCUCUGAGAAGGUACGCUGCUAUUUUACUGACCUUAACUAUAUAGUUAAAGACUCUAAGCAGGUCAGGACAAGAAGACGAGGACGCGAUCGCAACCAGAGGAGGCAAAUCAUCAAGGACGGAUGGGUAGACUAUGAAGGAGAAGUUGUAAUGUCUGACGACAUACAGCUUGAACAGAACUGUCCUGAGGAGACCGUAGCACCGAGUCAAGUGUGGAGAGAGAAGAUAGUUAUACAUGAAGAGAAGGCGCCGCCGGAACCACCGACUACGCCAUCCAGCGAAUCCCAGGACGACUGAGAAAACGGAGAGUCCCGUUCGGAGGACUUAAAAACACCAAACGCCUUGGCAAGAGGUAAACUUGGUAGUUAUCCUUCUCCUUCCAAUUAUUUAAAAUAGUUUGCUUAGUUAAUCAGGUUCAUGCUAUCUUGAAAAGAAAAUAAAAAUGUUAAAAAUAGUAAGCCCCAUGUGAGUAUGCUCAUGGCAUAAACCCAUAAGUACAUUCACUGUGGUGGCAUAAAAAUAAAAUAAAUAUAUUUAUGCGCUAUAAAAAUGAGAAUAUAAAAAUAAAUUCAUGAUCCUACUAAAGAGUGUAACAUUUAUUGAGGAGGCUCAACAUGAUAAAGGCUAGAUAUUUAUGCUAACACUUAACUAGUUCCACAAAGCUUUGUUGUCUAUUUGAGCUCCACAGAAUUUAAGGAUCAAAGAAGACUAGCAGACGGAGGACAUCCUAAUCGCUAUCAGGGUGCUGCCGACAUUCAAAUACACCACCGCCACCUGCUAGCUACAUCAGAAGAAAUUGCGUCAAAAUCCAGCUUGGGGGAGAGCACCCCCAUUUAUCCAGCUAAGUGUUCUACUCAUGUUUAUAUUUUACUCAAAUAAUAAAAAGAUGCAUAAUCAUAAAAACCCAAAUAAAGAUUUUGUGCUUAUAUAUAUCUUUGCUUAGUUUGCUAAAUAAAUAAAUAAAUAAUGUUUCCUAUGAACCCUCAUGAUAAGCUCUCACAUGGAAAUGAUGAAUAAUUGCUCUACCAUGGCUAGUUCUUAAAAUUGAAAUCUCUCUCAAGUUUAGGCAUGACUGUUAUUAAUUAAGAUUUGCUCUAAACCUGAACUUGUGGGGAGAGUACUUGAUCUAAAGUCUAAGUCGUUAACGGAUACGAUAUGGGAAGGUUGAGCUGCUGUUUAUCUGUUCCUAGAGAUGCUAGAAUUCUGGAGAAUUUUAUCUUUGAAAAUCUUUAAAUUGUUGCAUGAUGAGUUCCUGUAUGAUGAGAGUUUAAAUUCCUACCACAGCCAUAUAUACAUGCUUGCUAGACUUUGAGCCACACAUUUACUUUUUACUGCUUAUGAGCAUUGAGUGUGGUCAAGCUGUGUAGACCCUUAGGAGCUUGUCAUGUGGUUAAGUCAAGAUUCACUUGCACGUUCACUCAUACAUGCUGCUUCUACUCCGGAAGUAUGCAUCCACAUAUAUCCACCCAUUUCCAUCUCCAGAACCACCCAAAAAUAUUCUACUCCUAAUCCGGGAGAGAAUAGCCAAAAAUAUUUCUGUUUUCCUCUGUGAAAUAAAUGCUCAAGUUAUCUUGGUUACUACCACUUGCUAUAUUAUCUCAUGAGAUGAGUGCUCUAAAAAAAAGAGAAAAAAAAAGAAAAAAAAAGAAAAAAAAGAUACGAGGAAAUAAAAAGGGGCAAGUGCCCGGAACCUCGAAAGAAAAGAAAAAGUAAGACGAGAGGUAAAAAUGGACAAGUGUCCGACAGUAGAAUUAGGGGUACAAGAUACCCACCUGAGAGAAAAGAAAAAAAAGAAAAUAUAGAGCAUCUCAUUCUCCUCAAAAAGUUUCAAAAGAGCAAGAAAGGUAUGUAUCCCCUCAAAAGAGCAUAAGUAGAAUUAGACUUUCACCAUUAUCACCAUCAUCACCAUACACCGUUCAUUCGCCACACAUGCACAUCUUGAUUUGACUUAUUGACUUGUUCUUCUGGAUCCAUGGUUUGACUAUGCAAUAAAUGUCUUGUAAGUAUGUAUUAGCUGUCUCCCACCUAUGAGCUCCAGAUAUCAAAAGCCUUAUUAGAGUAGGGUGAGAGAGAAGGCAAUACCACUAUGCUUCAUACUACAAAUACCACAUACUUUGAGAGAAGGCAUAUACUAUUACUGCCUUGGUAAGGAUCCAGAAAUACCACAAAAGAGAGACUAGAGAGAGUCAUACAAGGAAUCUCUGAGUUUUAUUUGAAAAUCUGCAAAAACUCCAGAGCUAUAGCUGAUCAAGAAUAAGAGACAUGGUGCUUGACUAGACCGUUCUAUCUUUUAACUACUCAAGACAGAAGUGACGGUUACAAGUCCCAUGGUGAAAGGUAAAUGAGUAAGUUUUAAGUCUUAACAGUUUACUCUAACCAGAGAUGAGAUCUUGUUUAAACGCAUCUGUAUCUUUAAGUUAUGAAACCACUGC
rnacentral:lncRNA from 1 species